rnacentral:lncRNA from 1 species
AUGAAACAUAUUAUAAUACUAGAAAGCAAUUAAGAGUAGUGGCAGAUGAAGUAUAUACAAAAUACAGUCAUCCAAAAUACAUGAGAAAGAUAAAAGCUCUACAUGUAGUUAUAGAGUCUUUCAAAAAGAAGAGAAGGAAAGAAGACUAAGUUAUAUACAAUAGGUAAUAACUAAGCUACACUACUCUGCAGCAUCAGUAGUGUAUGGGAUAUCUGGGCCAUCUAGUAUUUGCUCCAAAGGGGCCUCUGAAACCUCUGCUCACAUCCAAUUAGGAUGAUCAUUGCAAAAGAAAACAAACACAUACAAAACAGGCAUCAAACAAAGCAAGGGUAAGCUAGAUUUCAAAAGGAAACAAGUUAACUAAGAGAUUAUCAAACUAAAAGAGGCAUUCAAGAAUUACAAGUAUGGAAGAACAAUUUAAUUAAGUUAUGAGUUGUGGUUUUAUUAAGUGGUGUUAGACUUAGACUCAUCCGGACCCGAAAUGAACAUCGAGCUAUGGCGGGUUAUGCACUUGUGGUGGCCUCUACUGCUUUGCAAAGCCAAUUGCUAUGGGUUCCACCCUACCACCACAAGGUUAGUCCGUUAUCACUCACCUUGGCCCAUAUAAAAUGGAGACAACCAAGACUAGGACCCCCUACUACUCUCACUACAUGAACUAAUCUUCUCUAAGUGAGAUUGAAUAGUCAUUAGAGUAUUAAGGGCAACCCCCAAGACUGAGCUACCUAUAUUCAUUCCAGAAACUUAACUUAGAUCUCACCUAGAGAUGAUACUUAACUCUU